AUUGAACGCUGGCGGCAGGCCUAACACAUGCAAGUCGAGCGGAUGAGGAGAGCUUGCUCUCUGAUUCAGCGGCGGACGGGCGAGUAAUGCCUAGGAAUCUGCCUGGUAGUGGGGGACAACGUUUCGAAAGGAACGCUAAUACCGCAUACGUCCUACGGGAGAAAGUGGGGGAUCUUCGGACCUCACGCUAUCAGAUGAGCCUAGGUACGAUUAGCUAGUUGGUGAGGUAAAGGCUCACCAAGGCGACGAUCGUUAACUGGUCUGAGAGGAUGGUCAGUCACACUGGAACUGAGACACGGUCCAGACUCCGACGGGAGGCAGCAGUGGGGAAUAUUGGACAAUGGGCGAAAGCCUGAUCCAGCCAUGCCGCGUGUGUGAAGAAGGUCUUCGGAUUGUAAAGCACUUUAAGUUGGGAGGAGGGGCAGUAAGUUAAUACCUUGCUGUUUUGACGUUACCGACAGAAUAAGCACCGGCUAACUUCGUGCCAGCCGCCGCAGUAAGAC
rnacentral:rRNA from 1 species